rnacentral:rRNA from 1 species
UCUGGUUGAUCCUGCCAGUAGCAUAUGCUCGUCUCAAAGACUAAGCCAUGCACGUCUCAGUACGAGCUGAAUGUAAAGUGAAACCGCGAACAGCUCAUUAAAUCAGUCUUUGUUCACUGGAUGGAAGGGCGACCGUAGAUGGAUAACUGCGGAAAUCCUGGAGCUAAUACAUGCCAUUGACGCCGCGACGUUCGAAAGAACGGAGCGCAGCCUUUAUUAGACCGAAACGGUGGGUCCUGGACCUCGCGUCUGGCCCUCCUCUGGUGACUCCGGGUAACCGACAGUGGAUCGCAAGGCCUACGAGCCCGCGACGCAUCUUUCAAGGGUCUGCCUCAUCAACUAGACGGUUCGCAAACCGCCGACCGUGGUGGCGACGGGUGACGGGGAAUUAGGGUUCGAUUCCGGAGAGGGAGCCUGAGAGAUCGCUACCACAUCCAAGGAAGGCAGCAGGCGCGAAAAUUACCCACUCCUGGCACGGGGAGGUAGUGACGAUAGAUAACGACGCGGACUUCUCCAAAGAGGAUCCGCGAUCGGAAUGAGCGCAGAUCAAAUCCUUCGUAUAUCGAGGAUCGAUUGGAGGGCAAGUCUGGUGCCAGCAGCCGCGGUAAUACCAGCUCCGAAAGCGUAUACUAAAAUUGUUGCGGUUGAAACGCUCGUAGUCUAGCAAGGGGAUCGUGCGAGAGCCGUCCGCGGCGGCGUCCGCGGCCUCGGCCUCGCCGAACCCCUUUCCAUUCCGACGGCCCGUCAUACAGGUGCUCUUCAUUGAGCGUCGCGGGACGUCCGGAGAACCUUCUACCGCGAGAAAACCGGAGUGCUCCAAGCCUGACUCUUGCCGGUCUUUAUGACCGACGGCGAUCGAAAGUUCGCGGCACGAUAUCGAUAUGAGCCGGCGGACGGGUCAAACCGUUUCGCCGGCGGAGACGAACGGAGACCAAGCGAGGGCGCGGGUAUCCCUGCGGCGAAAGGUGAAAUUUUAAGAUCCUAGGGGGACCGGCGGAGGCGAAAGCGUCCGCCAAGUGGGUCCGGUUACGAUCAGGAACUAAAGUCGGAGGACCGAAGGUGAUCAGAUACCACCGUAGUUCCGACCCUAAACGAUGCCAUCCGGAGAUCCGAAGGAGUGCGAGCGAGUAUCCCUUCGGGCACUCCCCCCGGGAAACCCAGAGACGGGCUCCGGGGGGAGUAUGGUCGCAAGACUGAAACUUAAAGGAAUUGACGGAAGGACACCACCAGGAGUGGAGCCUGCGGCUUAAUUCGACUCAACACGGGGAACCUCACCGGGCCCGGACACCGUGAUGACUGACAGACCGAUCGGCUCUUUCUUGAUUCGGUGGGUGGUGGUGCAUGGCCGUUCCUAGCUCGUGGAGCGAUCUGUCUGGUUAAUUCCGACAACGAACGAGACUCCGACCUAUUAACUAGAGCGCGCAUACGAUUUUGUCUACGGCGCCGAAGCCGCUCGGACUCUCCGUUUCGCCCCGCGGUUUUCGGACCGUUGCGGACGGGCGUGUGGCGUUUCGUCGGUAGUAGGUGCGUGCGCGGACGUCUUCUUAGCGGGAUCGGCGGCUCGAAGCCGUACGAAAAGGAGCAAUAACAGGUCUGUGAUGCCCUUAGAUGUCCCGGGCUGCACGCGCGCGACAUUGAUGGAAUCAGUGCGAUCUCCCGCCUUAUACGAGAGGGCCGGGUAAUCGUAGAAACUCGAUCACCGUCGGGACCGGGGGCUGCAAUCGUCCCCCGCGAACGUGGAAUUCCCCGUAGUGGCGACUCAUCCGAGGUCGCCGCGAAUAAGUCCCUGCCCUUUGUACACACCGCCCGUCGCUACUACCGAUUGAACGAUCGAGCGAGGCCUUCGGACUGGUCGGCGUUGACGACGACUCCUCGUGUUUCGCGUCUCGUCGAGAUGGAAAGAUCGCCGAGCUCGACCGUUUAGAGGAAGUAAAAGUCGUAACAAGGUAUCCGUAGGUGAACCUGCGGAUG